GAUGAACGCUGACCGAAUGCUUAACACAUGCGAGUCUACUUGAACUUCGGUUUGGGUGGCGGACGGGUGAGUAACGCGUAAAGAACUUGCCUCACAGUUAGGGACAACAUUUGGAAACGAAUGCUAAUACCUGAUAUUAUGAUUUUAGGGCAUCCUAAGAUUAUGAAAGCUAUAUGCACUGUGAGAGAGCUUUGCGUCCCAUUAGCUAGUUGGAGAGGUAACGGCUCACCAAGGCGAUGAUGGGUAGCCGGCCUGAGAGGGUGAACGGCCACAAGGGGACUGAGACACGGCCCUUACUCCUACGGGAGGCAGCAGUGGGGAAUAUUGGACAAUGGACCAAAAGUCUGAUCCAGCAAUUCUGUGUGCACGAUGACGUUUUUCGGAAUGUAAAGUGCUUUCAGUUGGGAAGAAAAAAAUGACGGUACCAACAGAAGAAGUGACGGCUAAAUACGUG
rnacentral:rRNA from 1 species